AUUGAACGCUGGCGGAAUGCUUUACACAUGCAAGUCGAACGGCAGCACGGGGCAACCUGGUGGCGAGUGGCGAACGGGUGAGUAAUACAUCGGAACGUGCCCAAUCGUGGGGGAUAACGUAGCGAAAGUUACGCUAAUACCGCAUACGAUCUACGGAUGAAAGCGGGGGAUCGCAAGACCUCGCGCGAAUGGAGCGGCCGAUGUCAGAUUAGGUAGUUGGUGGGGUAAAGGCUCACCAAGCCAACGAUCUGUAGCUGGUCUGAGAGGACGACCAGCCACACUGGGACUGGGACACGGGCCAGACUCCUACGGGAGGCAGCAGUGGGGAAUUUUGGACAAUGGGCGCAAGCCUGAUCCAGCCAUUCCGCGUGCAGGAUGAAGGCCUUCGGGUUGUAAACUGCUUUUGUACGGAACGAAACGGCUCUCUCUAAUACAGGGGGCUAAUGACGGUACCGGCAGAAUAAGCACCGGCUAACUACGUGCCAGCAGCCGCGGUAAGAC
rnacentral:rRNA from 1 species